GACGAACGCUGGCGGCGUGCCUAAUACAUGCAAGUUGAGCGAUGAAGCUUGGUGCUUGCACCAAUUUGAAGAGCAGCGAACGGGCGAGUAACGCGUGGGGAAUCUGCCUUUGAGCGGGGGACAACAUUUGGAAACGAAUGCUAAUACCGCAUAACAACUUUAAACAUAAGUUUUAAGUUUGAAAGAUGCAAUUGCAUCACUCAAAGAUGAUCCCGCGUUGUAUUAGCUAGUUGGUGAGGUAAAGGCUCACCAAGGCGAUGAUACAUAGCCGACCUGAGAGGGUGAUCGGCCACAUUGGGACUGAGACACGGCCCAAACUCCUACGGGAGGCAGCAGUAGGGAAUCUUCGGCAAUGGACGAAAGUCUGACCGAGCAACGCCGCGUGAGUGAAGAAGGUUUUCGGAUCGUAAAACUCUGUUGGUAGAGAAGAACGUUGGUGAGAGUGGAAAGCUCAUCAAGUGACGGUAACUACCCAGAAAGGGACGGCUAACUACGUG
rnacentral:rRNA from 1 species